GACGAACGCUGGCGGCGUGCUUAACACAUGCAAGUCGAACGAGUGGCGAACGGGUGAGUAAUACGUGGGUAACCUGCCCUCUUUUUGGGAUAAGCCUUGGAAACUGGGUCUAACACAGAUUAAAGGGGGAUGGGCUCGCGGUCUAUCAGCUUGUUGGGGGGGUGAUGGCCUACCAAGGCGGUGUCGGGUAGCCGGCCUGAGAGGGUGACCGGACACAUGGGGAGUGAGAGACGGCCAAGACUCCUACGGGUGGCAGUAGUGUGGGAUAUUGCACAAUGGUGGAAAGCCUGAUGCGGGGACGCCGCGUGGGGGAUGAAGGCUUUCGGGUUGUAAACCUCUUUGGCUAUCGAACGGGUAGGUAGAGAAGAAGCGCCGGCUAACUACGUGCCAGCAGCCGCGGUAAUAC
rnacentral:rRNA from 1 species